rnacentral:rRNA from 1 species
CAUGCAGUCGAACGGAAAGGCCCUUCGGGGUACUCGAGUGGCGAACGGGUGAGUAACACGUGGGUGAUCUGCCCUGCACUUUGGGAUAAGCCUGGGAAACUGGGUCUAAUACCGAAUAGGACCGCGCUCUUCAUGGGGUGUGGUGGAAAGCUUUUGCGGUGUGGGAUGGGCCCGCGGCCUAUCAGCUUGUUGGUGGGGUAAUGGCCUACCAAGGCGACGACGGGUAGCCGGCCUGAGAGGGUGACCGGCCACACUGGGACUGAGAUACGGCCCAGACUCCUACGGGAGGCAGCAGUGGGGAAUAUUGCACAAUGGGCGCAAGCCUGAUGCAGCGACGCCGCGUGAGGGAUGACGGCCUUCGGGUUGUAAACCUCUUUCAAUAGGGACGAAGCGCAAGUGACGGUACCUAUAGAAGAAGGACCGGCCAACUACGUGCCAGCAGCCGCGGUAAUACGUAGGGUCCGAGCGUUGUCCGGAAUUACUGGGCGUAAAGAGCUCGUAGGUGGUUUGUCGCGUUGUUCGUGAAAACUCACAGCUUAACUGUGGGCGUGCGGGCGAUACGGGCAGACUAGAGUACUGCAGGGGAGACUGGAAUUCCUGGUGUAGCGGUGGAAUGCGCAGAUAUCAGGAGGAACACCGGUGGCGAAGGCGGGUCUCUGGGCAGUAACUGACGCUGAGGAGCGAAAGCGUGGGGAGCGAACAGGAUUAGAUACCCUGGUAGUCCACGCCGUAAACGGUGGGUACUAGGUGUGGGUUUCCUUCCUUGG